CCUACGGGAGGCAGCAGUGGGGAAUAUUGCACAAUGGGGGGAACCCUGAUGCAGCGACGCCGCGUGAGUGAAGAAGUCUUUCGGUAUGUAAAGCUCUAUCAGCAGGGAAGAAAAUGACGGUACCUGACUACUAAGCCCCGGCUAACUACGUCCCAGCAGCCGCGGUAAUACGUAGGGGGCAAGCGUUAUCCGGAUUUACUGGGUGUAAAGGGAGCGCAGACGGCUGUGCAAGUCUGGAGUGAAAGGCGGGGGCCCAACCCCCGGACUGCUCUGGAAACUGUAAAGCUGGAGUGCAGGAGAGGUAAGCGGAAUUCCUAGUGUAGCGGUGAAAUGCGUAGAUAUUAGGAGGAACACCAGUGGCGAAGGCGGCUUACUGGACUGCAACUGACGUUGAGGCUCGAAAGCGUGGGGAGCAAACAGGAUUAGAUACCCUUGUAGUC
rnacentral:rRNA from 1 species